rnacentral:rRNA from 1 species
UACGGGGGGUGCGAGCGUUGUUCGGAAUUAUUGGGCGUAAAGCGCGUGCAGGCGGUUUUGUAAGUCUGAUGUGAAAGCCCCGGGCUUACCCCGGGAAGUGCAUUGGAUACUGCAAGACUUGAGUUCGGGAGAGGUGAGUGGAAUUCCUGGAGUAGGGGUGAAAUCCGUAGAUAUCAGGAGGAACACCGGUGGCGAAGGCGGCAUCCUGGACCGACACUGACACUGAGGAGCGAAAGCCAGGGGAGCAAACGGG